CAGCAAACAGGGGAGCAGAAGGGGUGGCAUGGAGCUGCUUCUCCUGCAAGGUGCUUACUGCCUCUGCAGCUGGAUGCUGCCUCCUGUAAACUAGUUCUAGUCAUCGUCCCCUUCUAUGUGUGCUGGGUGCCCUGUUUUCUGUACAAUGCUCUCUCUCCUUGAGUCACUCUGCAAGUCGCUAUUCAACCUGGAAAUGGAGCAGAAAGAGAAAGACUAGAAGGAAAAAAAUAAGGCAGCAGAAGACUAUAAACAAGACUAUAAAAACCACAAGCGAAGAGUCUAAAGCUACAUUUCGUAGCCUCCUAAAAAGGUGGCAUAGGCAAGGUUUUCAAGAGCUCCUCAGGAUUUGGCUGACUUUGAAGCCCUACCAUCUGUCACCGACUUUAUCAUCAGACCCAAGAGAAACCCAGCCUCUGAAUGACUGUCCCUCUGCAGAGACAAGGCAAGGUUCCCAUUGAGUGUCAAUGAAAAGUUUGUAUUGAACACAGCCAGGUUUCUAUCCAUGGUCAAAGUUGACAAGCGCCUCAUGGUUCUGGGCUUCAUGGAAGAUUCACCCAGCGUUGUUCAUAACAUCACUGGGAAAAUGAAAAUAUAAAGGGGAAUGAAUAAUAA